AGGCGGGCGGCGGUGAUGACAUGAUCGAACCAGAGUCUUGUGAUACCAAACUGGUAGAAACUAUGAUUCUAUCGGCCAUAUGCCUUAGGUUACAAGGGUACGUGGGAGGUUGGAGGAGACAAGGGCGUCGCGGCCGGCGCGAAGGCGCCGUCUCGGCACAGGGAGGAGGCGACGGCGAGUAGAGAAGGCGGUGGUAGGGUUAGGGUUCCGGCUUCUUUGGGAGCGGGCAAUAGAAUUGUCUUAUUGCUUAAUUUUAAAAGGUGUCUUACAACUUAUUUAUAUAAGCUCUAAGAUAAUAGAAAUAAGGAAAGUUGGGCUAAGCCCCUAACUUAACUAAGAUAACUUGGGCUAAGCCCUUAACUAAACGGGUCCAUUGAACCUUCUCCGGCUAUAAGUCACGCCGGUCAUAACAGUAACCUGAAAAUACAAACAUAUGAAAGGACAGUCCACCAAAUUACAUAAUUACUAUGCCCUUUAUAGACCAGACCACACACACAAUCACAAUACGAAGGCACGAAACAAGCUGAUUGACAAGCCAUGAACUACAAAGAUAGUGGCUACAUGGCGUAUUAAAGAGACGAGUGAUGAAGGACGUGCUACAACUACAAGGAAGCGAUUAACAUGAGCAUGUAGAACAGCGUAGCUAGUCAUGCUGAAAGAACUGAAGAUAUAUAAGAACUUCUCGAUCGAGGAACACGCACGCAAGCAAGAUGUGCAGAUCAAGAACCAAAGCCAGAGCUACACAUCUGUGGUUUUCCCUUGGAACUUGCCCCCGUCAUCUCCAGCGCCUCCCUGCUUGCCUUGGCUGCUCUUCUUGGCCCUGACGAAGCAGAAGCAUGCGCAGCAGGGGCACCGGAACAGGAGCUUCAUACCGAUGAUCCGUCGCCGAUGAUGAACUUAGCAACCGGCAGAUCGAAGCUUGGGCGAUCUCCCUCACGCACUCACCCAAGCAAAAUUAUGAAUGUGGAUGUAUGGAUGAUGGAUCUGAUCUGCCUCUCUCAGACUCACUUGCAGACUGACACUAAACAUAUAUAUAGCUGCCUUUGAGCCUUGGCACUCACACGCUCCGGCAGCUGCUGCCUUGAGCCUUGGCACACACCACACACUCUCUGAUCGAUCUGACUCCAUUUUAAAUGGACGCGAAUGGAUCCUGCCCAUGUGCCCCUUUUUUUCCUCCGUGGAAGAAGAUGGCCCAGUCAUAGACGACAGACAGUAGUACACUGGUACACUUGUUGGUUAGGCUAUAUGUAGCCGCAUAGCCCAUGCUUGAACAUUCAUAUGUUCCUGUGUAGCAUUCCCUGACUUUUCUAUGUAGGUCACUGCUGGGCAACAUGAGCUAGCUAGCUAGCUGGCUUCUUUUCGUGAGUAGACAGCACAUACGUUAAACAAGAUGUCUUGCUAGUUACUACUACUAGUCAUCAGUUAAUUAGUGGUAAGUGUGCAUUAGUAUAAGCUAAGGUAUCUGCCGUGCAUGUUGCUACAUGUGCCAUGCAUGCAUGCCUGUCUCUAGCUAUGGCCUUGAUCAAGCAAAAUCAAGGCAGGCAGGAGACUGUGCGAAUAUAUAAUCAAGGAGAGAGAGGGUGAUUGCUGAAAGCAAAGCAGACAUGCCAAUUGCAAAGCAGUAGAACUGCAUGUUGCCGGCCAAAAGGCUAUAUGUGCGCAUCACAUGGAUAACUAACUAUUGCACCGAGGCUGACAGACAGUGUGACCGGCCCUGUGUUACUCAGGCCGAAAUCACUGAUUUUAACUUUUCAAAAAUCUUUAUCACAAACUAAACUUGUCCUGUGAGUAUUUCACGAUCUAACCCUUUUAACAACGUCAUAGUCCGUGACAUUAAUACCCAACAUAUAAACGCCGAGAUAGAUAGCGUUUCUACCCUUGCCUACUGCAAGGCCGAGCACAAAUACGUGACAACAAUGACGGAGCUAUGUGUAUAGCUGAGGGGGUUGUGCCCCCCCCCCCAACCCAAAAUCCCCGAAGAAAAGAAAUUUAGGGAGACAUAAUUAAAACAAAGUAUUAUUAUUAGCCCCUCAAAACAUGUAUCAUUUGAUGAUGUUAGCCCCCCCUACCCCUCCCGACAUCACACUCAAGCUCCGCCACUGCGUGAUAGGCCAGAAACAUCGAGCUAGACCCUGUUUCUAGAAGCGUCACUGAUGCUGGCGUUUCUGUGCAGGGCGGCAGGGACGAAUACAUGCACGCCGGGGGGGGGGGGAAUCUGUCCAUGAAGGGGGCAAAUCUCACGUGAAGUGAAUUUUUUUGGCUACAACAAUCACAACCAUAGUAGAAGAAUCAAUUUGUUACCGGGGGUCUAGCCCCCCGCCCCCUAAAUUCGACCCUGCAGGGUAACAAUGUCAAAGGCCUUGGCUUUUCCAAACAACGUAAAAAAACGACAAGGCCUUUGGUGUUGUUGUCCUGCAUAUAAACGCGAGGGGCAGUGACAUUUUUCAGAAACGACACCUAUCUCGGUGUUUCUGGCCUGUCACGUAAGUCUGCUCGGCCUGACAGUGCGUAAGAACGCUAUCUGGCUCGGUGUUUCUAUGUUGACAGUAACGACCGCGGGCUAUGACGUUGUUAAAAAAAUCAUAUCUAACAUGUUAGCUAUAAGAUGGGCUAUAGGUGAUAUGACAGCCGGCUCUAAUAUUGUACUUGCUCUAAUUAAUCCGCAGCUUCUACAAAAGCGCCGCUGCCUGCUGCAUGCAGUAGUACAAGAAUGCAGUGACAAUGAGCUAGUGUAUAGUGCAGCUACUUCAUAACAGAUACUAGUAGUAGCUUAGGCCUUGUUUUUUUUUAGGUUCUAGGAGUUUUUUAGUCCCAACUAAAAAGUUACUAGUCUCUAUCCGUUUCUUUCCAGGGACUAAGGCCACGCUUGGGUCAAGGGACUUAUUUUAGUCUGACUAAAAAUAGUCUCUUUAAAAGGCUAUAGUUCCAAACACCCCUGACUAAAGAGGGUUAAAACUAGUCUUGAGACUAAUUUUUUUUAGUCAGUGGAUAUCCUACUAAAAUAUGGAUUAGUCAUCUCUCUCCUCAUUUAACUCCUCUCAUUUAACACAGAGGCCAAUAAGUUGGCGGGAGGGACAACUAGGAUUAGGAGAGAGGGAGGAUAAUAAAUGCUCAUUAACUUGAUUUUAGUCUCUUAAGUAUUUGGAUCCAAUCAUGGGUGAGGCUAGCAAGUUUUAGUCACACUACUUUUAGUCACGGGACUAAAACGUAUCCAAGCAUGACCUAAAUAAGGAUUAGAGAUCAUUAAAUGAGAUGUAAAAAGACCAUGUUACCCCUAGUAAUGUACUAGAAGUUAUUAAAUGACAUACUAAAAGUAGAGUCACUAUUAAAAAAGUGUCAAAAAUGUUCCAAAAAUACCCACCAUAUGGACUUCUUUCUUUAGUCCCAAAUACCUUUUUAGUCCCUAGAAGUCCCUCAUGUUUCUUUUACAUGGGACUAAAAGGGACUUUUUUUAGUCCCUACAGCAAAAAGUCUGUGUAAAGAAACACACCCUUAGAGGGUGCUUGGAUUCAAGGGAUUUAUUUUAGUCUGACUAAAAAUAGUCUCUUUAAAAGUUUAAAGUUCCAAGCCCCCCUGAUUAAAGAGAGGCUAAAACUAGUCUUGAGACUACAAAAAUUUAGUCAGGGAUACCCCUACUAAAAUGUAGAUUAGUCAUUUCUCUCCUCAUUUAACUCCUCUCCUUUAACACAGGCGGGUUCUUGAUUGGAGGGUUUGGAUGAUAAUAAAUGCUCAUUGACUUGAUUUUAGUCUCUUUAGUACUCCCUCCGUCACGGUUUAGAAGACACGCUUGGAAAAUCUCUGGGACCAAGGUAGUCAUCGAUUGGUUGUGAGAUGUAGCAGGUGUAGAUGCUAAUGCGCCUAAUCAAUUGAGAAAAUACUAGUACUAAUGCGUGAGCAGCAAAUUGGGAGGGCGCAUCCAUGAGUAGUACUACCAGUACUAAUUAAUAGGGGUAAUUGCUUUCGCGUUUUAAACCUUGCCUAUUUUGAAAACGCACGCAAGUUUAACUAUGCUUUUCAAACCGUGACGGAGGGAGUAUUUGGAUCCAAGUAUGAAUGAGGAUUACAAGUUUUAGUCUCACUACUUUUAAUCAUAGGACUAAAACGUAUCCAAACACCCUCUUAAUCUUCAUGCGUUUUGCGCAUUAAAUUGCGCCUGCGGACGAUCGAUCAACAACCAGGCACGCAGGCAGGCGGACAAGGAGCUGGUCCUGAAGUGCCGUGCAAAUGUUUUGCAUGCCCAGCUCGCCGAUCGGUAGCUAGCUAGCUAGCGGUCAAUCAAUCUAUCAAUAGGCCGGUCGUGCAUGCGGUUCGAUGCGCAUGCAUGCGUAUACUACUCCCACUUCCACUCCCACUGUAGUACUGUAUGAUCCAUGAACCAUGAUGGACGGGACGUUGCAACCACCGUCCAGUUGCGGUCGAUCGCGGUAGAAUGACCCGAACCGGAUGGAGGGAAGAAGAACAGCACGCUAGCACAUGGCCAGCCAGCCUUGCCGCCACGCACGGCCCACUCCGACCCCCGUGGCGCGCGCGUACGGUCGUGCAGACGUGCAGCGCGCGCGCGUCCGUCCAGCCCGUGUCCCCCGCGCGCAUGCGGUGCACCUCGCAGCGCAAGCAACGAAUACGUUUGCCACGGAUCUGGUCUCAUCUCGCUCACAUGAUUGAUUGAUCGGUUACAAGCGGUUGGUUGCCUCGUCUAUACGGUACGUACGUACGUGCACAUGCAUCUUGAUCAGCUACUGAUUGAUCCAGUACGUAAUAUUCCUAUUCGUAUGCUUAUGAUGAUGUUGGAGGGUCGAGGAAUAUUAUUGUUGUUGCCGCAUUGUCAACGUACUACGAAUGAACGAGAGAGGAUGAUGACGACGGUGAUGACCCGCAAAAAAUUGAGAUGAUGAUGAUGUUACGGGAGGUGUGUGGCCUGUAAUUAGGCGGCCAACAAUGAUGAUAAGAUGUUAUGCCACGGCCAGACGUGUCGCCUAAUUAAGCAAACCAACGAUUUCAUGCGUGGUGCAAUUUCCUUUCAUCAUCCCUCAUCUACUUGCCGGAAAUUCUGGAUAGGAAGCCAAGCGCCCGAGCCGUGAUCGUGGCAGCUGGAGCCCCUCGCCACCUUCCAAACUUUAUGACAACCAGAACCAGAGAUGUACUUUGGCGCCCAAGUUACCAUAUCUCUUUGACUCGUUAGCAAAGUGAAUAGAAAUGUACUCCUUCGGUACCAAAUUACUUAUCCCAUAGAUAAAUAAAGAUAAAUACAUCUAGAGCUAAAAAACAUCUAUAGACAUUUAACUUUAUAAAAAUACUUCCGGACAAAAAGAGUCGAAAAUAUAAAAUAUGUUUGUGGUGACCUUCAUCCAUUUGAUUCCAGAGAAAAAGUGUGAGCUAAAAAAAUGCCUCAUUGUUACACUGGAUUCUACAGAGACAUUAACACAAAACUCAUAUAAAUUGAAUGGCAUUGCUACGUAGAAUCCGAAAAUGUUUUUCUGAACCAUGGUUCAGCCGAACCUACACUCGACACCAUUGAUCUCUGAACACUGUUCAUCAAGAUAUGCGUAUGGUUUAAUUAAAAAAAUGCAUGGUGAAAGAUGUUUGCAAGUUGAACAAUGCAUGACACAAAGUGUUGGAUGAAGUUGACAUGCAUGACAAGGAUCCACAUGUAAAAAUAUAUUGAAUCGUACGACGUGGAAUAUAAGCUCGGCUGAACCAUGAUCUCGAAUCACGCCUCUCCAUAGAAUCAUACAUUAACCGAGAAACAAUUGCCAAGUAUUGCCAAGAGAAACUCUGAGCAUUUAUUUUUUAAUUGCAUGCAAAGUGGUACACUGGAAAAAAACUUUAGUAUCGAAUCCUAUGAGACCAUAACUUCCCAAAGUCGGUGACUAGCAUUGCGAUAUACUCUAUAAUGAUAAUCAGUAUUUAACUAUAUAACCAUCUUUGCUCUGUAAUUUAGUUCACUUGUCUAUUUGCCAUUGUGGUGAAAAAAAUAUAGUCUCACUUGUCUAUUUUUGUAUUUCUAUUUUAGUGUUCUUUAAGUUCAAUUGCCAAAUUUUGUGCCUACUCUCUUGGCAUCACAAAUAAGUGACGUUAGGGAUUUAGAUUUAGAACCUCCAGGGUACCCUACAGCUCUGUUUAGUUCGACUGAAUGAACUAACUUUUCAGAAUUAGCUCACUUUUGAAAAAAAAUAGUUAUUUUGGUUGAAUUAAAAACGGUCGAAGGAUACCCUUUAGGUUCCAAAUUUGCAUCCCUAAGUGACGUUUUUCAUGGUCUUAAAGAGUGUAACUUUGACCACUAUUUUCUUACAUAUUCAAACUGUCCACACGAACAAAUGUAGAUGGUUUGAGGAGUGCCCUUUGAGAUGCGCUUAUGUGUGAUACAGGAAGGAUCAAUAAUUUCAGAAAUAAGCAUAGUAACACAUAACUCAAUAACCGCAAAAUCGAGUCUUUUUUAGCACGAUACAAAUUGAUGAAGUCACGAAAUGCCACUUAGUAGUCGACGAAAACGCCCCUCCCACAUGAAUGAACAUAGCCGGAAACACCUAAAAUAAAUCAAAAAAAAAUAAUACAAAUAUCAAUGUACAAAUUAGGACUUUGAACCCUGAUGAGUUGGUUCUAGACCUGUGCAUGGACAACUUGGCCCGAAGGCCUGAGCCCUGCAUCCGGGCCUAACUCGGGCUCCAUUUUUUGGCCCGAAAGCUCGAAAUGACUAUAAAUGUGUAUUUUAUUUGAAAUAUAGGUAUAUCUUAUUAGUUUAAUAUCCCAAAUAUUACCAUUUCAAUUAGAAAUGUAAUUGUUCAUGUGUUUUGGGCCGGGCAAAGGCCUGGCCUUAGGAUAUUUCGGGCUUUGAUAAGCUCGACAUGAAUGAGGUCCGGUUCGGUGAAUGAUCAGGUUUAGUUGGUUUUCACAUAAAAUCUGACCAUAUUAGUUAGGCUUAAUUCGCCGCAAAAUAACUUCAGUUGGUGCUAUCGUAUGUAGCAUUGAAACUUUGGAUCGGAGUAUCUACUUCCGAGCUCAUAUACUCCUUAAAAUGAAAAAAAUGAAAAAAUUCUGGAUUUUUUAUACAAGCUUUGACAAAUAUUCUCAUUUGUUGGUAAUUUCCAUCCCAAAAAAACAUUCAUGGAAGUUACGGUAAAAAAUUAAAAUGUUAUUUUCGAAAGCAUUUUGAAGUAUUAUUUUUGUUAUUUUGCCACGGCUUGCACACAUAUUAUUUCGGGACGUAAGUUUGUAAGCACCGAGAACAUUUAUCAGAGUGUGCACCAAAAAAAUCAGAACUGUUUUUUUGUUUGUUUAUGGAGUGUACUGUUCAUCAAGCUCAAAUGAGCUCGAGGGUAGAAAGGUACAUUAAUGAAAUUUUCUUUUUCAGAUCACUGAAACUUCUCUUGGUAACCACGGGUGUGAUCCUCCACGAGCCACCGAGUUCCAAACAUCGACCUUUGCUCUUCCUCUCCGGUACGCCAUGGAGCCCGCUUUCUUGAGUCCGUUACUUUUGUGCCCCCACGCAGCAAUCCUGACGUGGAUGGAUGCCGAUAUUCUGCAGCCACCGUUCACCCGCGGAUCCGCUGCGCUCGAGUCCCCCGCGGAGGCGGCGUCCCGUCCGUCAGAUCAGGCAGAUCGACGGUGGCGGUGGGGCGAAAGGGAACGUCCCGCCGCGCAGCGGAUGGAUCGGGUUCACGCAGCAAGCGGCGCCAGCACGCACCGAGAACAUCGCUCUCCGCCCCCACCGGGCAGAGGUGUGGAAAACCAGACUGGAAAUUCGCUUCCACGAUUUGUUGCACCCCGUUUCACUUGCAUGAUGCCCCCUGAUCUUUCAUGGUAUUUGUUUGUUAGUUUUCUUGCACUAUUUUUUUAGCACAGUACAAAUACAAAUGAAUAUAUAUACACACGCAUACACUCACCCAUAUGAAUGCGCACACACAUACCCUAUCCCUAUGAACACAUUUGAAAGACCGAACUGACAUAUCAUUUUGAGAUUUACGAAGUCAUCGUAGGUGUCUCGUCGUCGACAGAAGCGUCUUCUACUACUAAAAACAUAUUGCCGAAAUCCUGAAAUAAAUCCAGAAAUAAAGGACUUGAACCCUGAUGAGACGAUGUUAUCACUAUUCCUAUAACCAUACAAUCAGAUGUUGGUUUACUCCUUGUACUAUUCGAUUGUAGAAUGUCCGUGCUUUGUUUUUUAUUGUGUAUAUCACAUGGAUGCACCCGAUAGGAAAAAAAAAGGCUAGGAUCUUUCUGAAGGGGGGUAAUUCCUAUGUUCCUACACAGAGGGAGCACAGCUAGUGAAAAGAAACAUUGUCAAGGCACAAUGUAAACUUGGUACAUAUUUGCAUAUUUGAAAAUCAUACACAUGCAAUGCACUCAAAUUGCACUCUUUUCUUUGCAGGUAUUAAUGCUUUUUUUGUGGGUACAUGGAAAUUGGACUUGAUUUUUUGAUAGAAAAAGAUGUUUGAUGUGUUUGCUCGGGCCGACUUUUCCAUUAUGCGCCAGAUCUAGUUUAUUUAGGUCAAGGCGUUCGAUGAUUCAAACAUGUCUUUUUUUAGGAACCGACAGGAGUACUGCCUUUACUUUAUAGAAAGGAGAGGCGACACGUAAUGUACAAGUAUGCAUACGUUUUUGAUGGGAUUACGCAGCCAAACUCGAGGAACAAACACGCAAAAACUGGCUCAGCCGAUGCCCGAAGGGGGCAUGGCCCGACGAACGCCAGCUCCCGUUGAUUGAUGUCCUCGAAGGCUAGCAUAGCCACCUCGCGAUAGGUCAUGCAACAACAUGUGAAGACACGUUUAUUCCUUUCUUUCCAUAGGUCCCAAAAGGUAUAGAUGAGUCUGUCGCUACGCUGUCUUCGCACUUCUCUUAACUCAACCGCAAGCAUGCUCUCCCACCAUUCCGACAUUGCUCCACGUUUCGACAAACAUAUUGCCAUUGGAAUGUUGUCAUUGGUCCAAAAGAUCACAUGGUUCCAGGCCACAACAGAGAAGGGCAAUCUUUGCACUUGUGGGUUGCUGUUUUCGGCUCCUGAAGGCAUAGCAGGCAUCUCGGGUCGUGCGGCCAUUCACGCAUGACGAGCAUGUCCGCCUUCAGGAUUCUGCCAUGGAGAACAAGCCAUGCAAAGAAUUUGCAUUUAGGCUCAGCGGGCGGUCCACGCCUUGGACGUAUCGAAUCUCGGGUGUGAGCCAUGGAACCGUGCUGCGUACACCGAGGCCGAAAGUAUGCUCCGUUACUGGUAAGGUUCCAAACAAUGGAAUCCUCCUGGUCGGGAGAGAGCUGAACCUGGCUGAUUCAAGUCGAUAAGGACACAUAUUCACUCAGCUGUUGCACUGUAUGCACCCUUGAUAUUGCUUUGAUCCAGUUGUCAUUUGAAAGCUCAUGUUGCACCGUCCUAUUCUUACUGAGGCGAUCUUGAAGAGUUCUGACGCGAGAGAGACGAGCGGUCCCCUACCAGUCCAGUUGUCAUGCCAAGACAACACCUUAGAGCCAUUACCCAAAGUGAUGGUGAUACAAGCCCGAAAUAGGUCCAUGUCAGUUUGGUCACAAAUAAGUUGGGUUCCCACCCAUGGUCGUUCUUGGUCCGUCCAUUUAGGAUCAAGGUGUUUUUCCAUAAAAAGGUGAAGGUGUUUCUCAUCUCGUGCUUCAGUCAUGUUCCUCUUAUUUUGACUACGUCUUCCUUUCUACAUUUAUGCAUGCAAUCAAGGCCCUCAUUUGCUAUUGAUUGCGUGCCCUCCUUUCAUGCUCAACUCCACUUUAACCUCCACAGAAGGUCUUAUUCAGGAUUCUUGGGCUAGGCAGGUAAUUGGAGAGACGUGGAGUUCGAAGCUUUCUCCAUGUCUUUUACCCAUUUUAAGGGGCAUGUGUUUGUUAUCGAAUACUUUGGCAUGUCUUCAACCUCCUCGUAACUUCUUCAUGGAUAAAAAGGGAACUCUUUUCAAGUGGCAUCUCUUUACCUUGCUGGUGAAGGUCGGCACAUGUUUCUUGUUGUUGCCGUGCUUGGUACCGAUCAACGACGGACAUAGCUCCUCAUCUAUUUUCGACCCAUGUGUGUUGACGUGACAUCCUCACAUGUCACUCAAGGACACGUGGAUGUUUCCUCAAGGACGAUUCUACACGUGUGUAAUGAUGAUUGGUGAACCUACGUGUAACGGUGGAGCGAGUCGACCAUACCUUUUCUACAACAAUCCAUUGAUUUUCUAAAUUACAUGUAUCACUCCUUACAACUUGAGAAGAUUGACCCCACAAAGUUUUCGUGCUGGCACGACCAUCCCACAUGAGCAUAUACUUGAACUAUUGUAUUCAUUUUGCCUUUUCAUUUUGAAAUACAGAGUAUAAUAUUUCACGAGGUGCGUUUGGCCUCACUUAGAAUUUCAAUAUUUACCAAAAAAAAGCAAUCACACGCGACUAUAUAGCAUCUCAAAUUAUAAACUCACCGUUGAAGAUCACCCAAAACAUUCAAAAUUACCUUGUAAAAGUGUACUCCCUCUGUAAACUAAUAUGCGCAGCUGCUGAAAAUGACGAAAAACGAGGGGCCAAACUGCGAGAAGGCAAAAAACCGAAAAACUCCAACCGGAAUCGCGAGCGUACUCUGCCCCACUACUACCUUCCACCACUUGCCGCCCCUGCCCCCGCCUCGCCAUCUCCGCGUCGUGCUGCCGCGCGGCCUCCCCCCCGCACCGCGCUCUCCCGGCGGCCCAGAUCCCUCCCCGCUCCGGCGAGCCCGCCAUGGACCGUCUGCGGGCGGGGAGCCCCGUCUACGGGCGGCAGCGCAGUGGGAGCAGCACGGGCUCCACCUCCCCGGGCGGCGUCUCCCCCUCGCACCACCGCUCCUCCUCCACCUCCUCCGCGGCCUCCCUCCCUGGCGCCGUCGCCGGCGUCGGGGGCAUAUCCAACGUCCGCCGCACGCAGAACGUCGCCGCGCGCGCCGCGGCCGCCAGGCUCGCGCAGGUCAUGGCCUCCCAGAGCGCCGCCGCGGCCGCCGGGGACGACGACGACGACGACGACUACGCCAACGACCACCCGCCCCCGCCCCCCGCCAGGUUCGGCAGCGGCGCCCGCUCCGGCCACGGCAGCAACGGCGUCUCACUGCUCGGCCGCACCGCGAGAUCUCCCUCCCCUGCGGUAAUUCUGCUCCCCCGGAUCUCCCGCUGGCCCCUCUCGAGGCCGCGUCCCUGCUUCGGAUUCGGCUGUUUCGAGCUCGAGCUAUGGGCGAAUUUAGUCAUAGCUGGUCAAAUCGCGGUCAAAUCGGUGUCAGAGCAUGCGUCAUUAGUUGAAUUUGCGAAUGAAGCUAGUUCCCAUUUGCUAAUGCCAAGCGUAUUUUUAGUCCCUUUUCAUCGGGACUGUGUUUGGGAGCCGAUGAUCGAUAAGGAAUUUUGAAUUGGUUGUGUCUGAUCUGCUCAAUUUGCUUGCUCCGUGUUCUUCUGCUAAUUUGAUAUCCUCAUGUUUUCAUUAGUUAGGUCGGAACAUUGUAGAGCCGCCUCCUACAGUCCGCUCAGCAUCAGCCGGAAGGACAGCCGCCAUUGCAGCACGACCGACCGCCACAGUGGUUCCACCAAUCAAAACCAACACUACCAUCAGAACCCCGUCUCCUAUCCCACCUGUGGCUGUGGAGUCCCCAGUGGAGCGCCCUCGACAGAAAAGGUACAUGCAGUGACAUACCCCCAGAUCUGCACAACGUACAUGUAUGCUGGAGCUUCUACAUAAUGAACGCAUGAUACUAGUGUGCGCCCGAGCAAUAGUUAGUGCAUUUUACUUCCUGCGCCACUUAUUAGAAUAAGUGGUGAUACUAGCUUACUGAAUUAGUCAACUCUUCCUAUGGGCUUAAUUUGACUGGACCUGUCAUUAGGUCUUUUUACAUGUUGUAGUUAAUGAAAUUCUGGUAAGGAUAAUAUUUAUUUAACUUUACCCAGCAUGAUGAUGUGUCAAUGUAGCAUUAACAUAUGAUCCAACCCUUAUGUGCCUGAUAAUCAACAGGUAAACAUGGACUGGACAUACUAUUAACCUCUGGACUGUUAUUUGUAAAGGAUGUUAUUGGUCAUUGCCACAUCAGUAUCAUAAGUUGGAACAUCUUCGAGAGCUUCUGAUCUUCUACCUAAUAAAUUGAAGCAUUGAGUCCAGUUGUGCAUGCAUACUAGCCUACUAGAUGCUGCAGCGGUUACUGAUGUGACUGAAAUGUUAAAAUAUCUCGUCUAAAUUGUGAAUCUGAUUUUAGAUUAGGCCAACAUCAUGGCUGUGUAAGUAGUAUGCCUCAUGGCCAGUAAGACAUUACUGUGCUUUGCUGACUUGUGCUGCAUAAACUAUUUAGUUGCCGGGAGUAUUACCAAUAAUAGCAACUAAUUGGUUUUGACGCCCUAAAAUUGAGGUUACCGAUUAGUUAAUACAUCCACAUGCAACACAUUAUAUUUAUUUAAAUAAUUUAGCGUCAUGUGAAACUCACUCCUACAUUUUCUAUAUGUUACCAUGGGCGCUUCAUUUCUUGUUGGAUUUGUGCAUCAUUUUUUUAAUUACCACAUUAUUAACUCUUUUUUCUAGCUUUGAGUUUCCUUGUGUGAGUAAUCUAUUUAGGCCCUGCUUGGAAUAGGUGUAAGAUUUUACACCUGUAUUUAUCUUACAAGUGUAAAUUACCCGUCAACACUUGAUUCCUGCCUGAAAUCAAAACGACGGGACAAGCUCUGUAUUCUUUACCGGUCUGAAACGAGGAGAAACGCUAAUCCAAACGCAGCCUAAGUUGCCGGGAGUAUUACCAAUUAAAGCAAAUAAUUGGUUUUGAUGCCCUAAAAUGUAGGUUACCGAUUAGUUAAUGCAUCUACAUGCAGCACAUUACAAUUUAUUUAAAUAAUACAACAUCAUGUUAAACUCACUCCUACAUUUUCUGUAUGUUACCAUGGGCACUGCAUUUCUUGUUGCAUUUGUGCAUCGAAAUUUUUGAAUUUACCACAUUAUUAACUCUUUUUUCUCUAGCUUGAGUUUCCUUGCACUCCUUCUCUAUAUAUCGUAAAGAAAAGAGCAGCAUGUAUAUGUUUUAACCUUUCCUGCUCCAGGUUUGAUACAGCCCCACUUAACUCUAGAGAAUCAGCGCCACGGAGAGAGUCAUCUACACUUCAAGAUGAGGUUUUUCUUUUUUCUAUGGAAACCACUUCAUCCGUUUCUAAGUAGAUGACGGCGUAAUUAUUUUGCACAGCAACCAAGGAACAUAUGCAAAUAUCCAUAUUUCUCACUCAAGACAUUCACUAGGACACCUAUUGCUCUCGUGGUUUAGGUUACUAGUCUGUAGUAGUAAAUGACUUCGGAAAUAACCAUUUAGACAAUGAAGAUGAGGGGCAUCCCAGGGAAAAGAGAUGGUACAAAAGGUCACAUUGAUAUCGUGCAACCUCAUGUUUCUAGGAGCAAAUGUGAAAGCUGGAAUGACAUGUUUUGGGGAACAGAGGAAAUAGUAAUUAUUUGCAGUUAUUCAUAGUUUCUGGUUUAGCUGUUAGAGUUUUUUUUUUCACUUAGAGAACUGAAUAGUUGAAGAGUGCAUAAGCUAUAUGAAGACUAAUGCACUGAUGUCUAACAGCUUGAUAUGCUACAAGAGGAGAAUGAAAGUGUUCUAGACAAGGUAAUGACAAACACCAUCAUUAUAUUGCAAUGCACUAAUCUUUUCUAUGACGGGCUUAUCUAAGCUUAUUCUGAAUCUGGAAAAACAGUUACGGCGUGCUGAAGAAAAAUGCGAGGAAGCGGAAGCUAGGGCGAAGGAGCUUGAGAAACAGGUGAAAUUAGGAUCCACUAAAAAAAAUCCCCUUAUGUGUUUUAUAUUUUGACAUGUGUACUCAUUUGUGAAACGUGUUUUUUUUUGGAAAAGGAGGUUAAACCUCCGGCCUCUGCAUCAAUCGAUGCAUGCAGCCAAAAAUCUUCUUAUGUGUUUUAUAUUUUGACAUGUGUACUCAUUUGUGAAACAUGUUUUGAGUCUAUCUGAACUAUAGUGUUCUGAAAUAUUGGAAUAAAUUGAUCCUUCUGUGUCAAGAGAAUGCAUGCGUUCCUUGCAAAAUGAGCUCUAUGCACCUUAUGUUUGCUAAUAUCAUAAUUUACUAAUAUACGAAGGUAGCUGCUCUCGGAGACGGGGUAUCCUUAGAAGCUCGCCUCUUGAGCAGGUUUGUUCCAUGCCUGAAUAUGCCAAUUUCACAAGUCCAGAACUGGGCAUAGCAUAACAUUUACAUGAAUGCUGGCAGGAAGGAAGCGGCACUUAAACAGCGGGAGGUUAGUUAUUCUUGUGUUUCACUCAUGGGUUGCUGCCAAGUCAUCUUUUCAUUCUGUUAAUUUAGCCAUGAUCUUGAUGUGUAUGGUGAAAUUGCCUCCAUAAUGUCGUCUAUUAUUCAAAUAAGAGGACAAAUCCUCUGCAGAACUCCAAUGCCAUCGUUUUCUAGCUGUUGUUUGUUGUGUCUAAAUGCACUAUCGCCAUGCUAGAUCUUUAUUCUAAAAUUUUGCCGAAUGAGUGAUCUUCUUUAUGCAUUUAAUAGUUGGAAGAGUUGACCAACACUUGAGUGAUCUUCUGUAUUUUAUUUGUAUAUAUGUGUCCAUAGGCUGCACUAAAGGCUGCAAGGGAAUCAACUGAUGGUAGAAAUGGAGAAGUAUCAACAAUAAAGCAUGAACUUGAGGCAAUGAUACUCAAUAUCCGGCAGCUUUUGUUUGUUUGUAUAUGGUCUUGGUCUUAUAUUUAACUCAUUUGUGUUCUCUCAUGCAUUAAAUAGUCUGCCAAAGAGGAGGUUGCAGCUGUUAUGGACCAGCUAAAGGAGGCAGAGUCCGAGACAAAGGCUCUCCGGUCCAUGACUCAGAGAAUGAUCUUAACCCAAGAAGAAAUGGUUGGUCUGAUUUAUGUACGAUCGUAAUCACUUCGUUUGUGCUUGACAUGGAUUUUGAUCUAUUUGCAACUUUAUGCUAGGAAGAGGUUGUCCUAAAAAGGUGCUGGCUUGCACGUUAUUGGGGCUUAGCGGUUCAAUAUGGUAAGUUGCCUAAGAAACAAUUUUAGUGGAAUAUUGUUCAACAUGAUGUCAUUGUCCACUUGCCCAGUAUGGUUUAUUCUCUAAUAAUGCUCGCUAGGCAUUUACUGAAAUCAAAGGUUAUGUGCAUUCAUGAUGUGAAUAAUCUCUGGAGAAAUGUUAUCUACUGCUCUCUCUUGAAAUGAUGUUAGCUGGCUUGGCUUCUUUUUAAACCAAAAACUGUAGGCCUUGACACUAAAAUUCUCAAUUACUGUGCAAAUCUGAUUAAAGUUGGGUAAAUUUAACCAAUGGUUGUGCUCUCACAUCUUAUCUCAUUUAUUUUGAAACACAAUUAUACCCCUCUCUAUAUCUGACGAGAAAAAGAACAGCUACCCAGACGCUCUCACAUAUCUACAAACAGCUCAACCAAAUACAAUUAUCAUGACUCAUCACAUCGCCAAUAGAGCCAUAGAUUACAAGCAAAGUCUUGAAAGCAGUACGAAUGUAUAUGAUAUCACCCUGUUACAAAAUAAAAUAAGAGAAAGUAAACUAAGGUAAUCACCAGCAGAAAGAGAACCUAAGAAGAGUAUAGAGGCAAAUAGGCAAUUUUUACAUGGAUGGGAUGCUUCCUUAGAUAGCUAGCUUCCAUGGAUAUUUAGCAGGCAUUUUGACUGUAUGGUUGAUGUUUUAGCCUUGUUAGGCUGGCCUGGUGUCCUAGAGUGUCUUUUGCACUUUGCUCCAUGGCUGACAAAAGAUUAAGUGUGACGUGGUAGGAUCGAAUAAGAGCUAAUUAGUGUGAAGACUUUGAAAUUUUGUGCUAUUUGCUUUACUAAGUGCAAAAAUGGUCAUUGAUAUUUUGUUGUUAUAGUCUGUCUGUGGAUACUAUUAAUCUGUGGUCUCAGUAGGGUAGGCGCAUUUGGUUCAGCCUCACCCCAGAUUUGAGGCUGGUUCAGGCUUUUAGACUAGUGGGGAUAAACCGGCCAAUUGCCAACCAGUCCAGGUCAGCCCAACUAUGUUUAAGGGCUGGGCCUGUGCCUAGAUUAGGGGACCAAAAUGAACAGGACCUGGCAAAGGCUUUGCCUGGAAAAUGCUCAAGUCUAGUUCACACGAGCAAGCAAGGCUAACUUUUGCAUGUACUUCUAUUCGUAUCCUGGUUUUUGGUUAUCUGAUGGCCUCCUAAUAAACUUGAAGGAGUUUAUCCCGAGAUUGCGGUGUCAAAGCAUGAACAUUGGUCAUCUUUAGCCCCUCUUCCUCUUGAGGUUGUUCUCUCUGCUGGUCAAAAGGCUAUCAAGGAGGAGCCUCGUAAGCAAGGUACGUCUGCAUUUAUAUACUGUAUAAGUUGUAGAUCCCAGUUUAUUCCAUGCACACUCCAAUGAACUAUUCUUAUAAUUCAUUCAAGCAGGUGAGGAUGAUGCUCAGAGGAGAAAUAGGCUUGUGCGAGAGAUGAGUGACGUAAUGGGAGAAGGCAACAUCGAGAGCAUGCUCUCAGUUGAAAUGGGACUUAGGGAGCUUUCAUCUUUGAAGGUAUUCGUCUUCCCUUCUUAUCAACUUAUGUUAACUUUCUAUUUUCUAGAUUUCUCAAUUGCCAAAUUGCAGAUGUACACUUGCAAACUUAAAGUGCAGGAACAAGCUUCUGCAGCAAAACCGGAGACCUAGCAUAGUUCAGCAAUUUAGUUAUUAUCAUGUAGGUGGAAGAUGCUAAGCCUAUUAUCACUGUGGUCCUCAAUUUAGUUAUUAUCAUGUAGGUGGAAGAUGCUGUUGUGGUUGCACUUGGUCAACACCGGAGACCUAGCAUAGUUCGGCAAUUCACAUCAGGUUUGCCCUUUUUUAAUUAGUUCAAUCAUGGAGAGCUCCUUCCGUACUAUACACUGGUGGUGCUAUAGCUUUAUCAUUGGGCUUCAGUUUAAUGAGCAAAUUGCAAUCCUCUGUCUGUGAUUUGUUUUCUUUUUUCUUUGAUCUGCCUAUAAGUCUACACUGUAGUGGCAGGGUACAUGACCUGUGAUGCUUAAUUUUUUAACAUAACUAUUUUCAAGGCUCAUCAGCGAAUUUUUUGUACGAUGUGAUUAUGAAAGGGAGAACACCUUAUCAACAAUCAACAGGGUCUUAUGCCAAAGUUGAAGAUUUGCAUGUCCUGUAAUGUGGUGUGUCCAGUUGAGACAAUACAAAUCCCUCACAUAAUCAAUGGUUUUUCCAGUAACUGUUUCACUAACACCAUACUUGUAGUUGUCCUUACAUGAAACAAAAAAGGUAUUGAUUGUAGCGUAUCAUCUGCAGGUGCAUGCACUAUAUUUUUUGCGUAGGAAUGAUUUUCCAAUGAGUCAAUUUGGAUGCAAUCACGUGUGUUUGCUUGCAUUCUUACUAAGCAACUUAAUUUUUUUUUCAGAUUAUAAAUCACCUGGCGAACCUAAAUUCUUGGAGGCAUUUGGUAAUACCUCCUUUUUUUUCUCUUGUAGAUUAUCUUCUCAACUUCCCUUUUACUGUUUGAACUUGUAUUAUAUGUACACAUUUUAACUUGAUUUUAGUUAAGCUAAACUGAAACUAUUUGACAUAUUGCAGACCUUAGCAACGAAGAGGCAGAGGAUGUUAGCUUUAAGCAUGUAAGCCUUCAGUAAUGUGAAUCAUUGUUUUUUUCCUUCCAGAUAUUACUUGUGUUAUUUACGGACUCCAUAUCACCAAAUGCAGGCAUGGCUUAUAUACUUCUGGAGAAGAGCCAAAACUCACGGUAUCGAGGAAGACAUUGCUGACGAACGGCUUCAGUUUUGGAUUGCUCGCAACGCGGUUGCACCGAAUUCUCAUGAUGCUAUAGAUGGUACGAUGCUUGUUCCCUGUUAACUACUCCCUCCGUCCCAUAAUAUAAGAUGUUAUUACAACCAUUAUGUGUACAACCAAUAUUAUGGGACUGAGGGAAUAUUAUAGUUGAAAACAUAACCAUUGGCAGAUACCUGUGGUAAAACGAUUAGUUUAACUCGAUAUUUAAUUAGAUUGCUAUUAGAAGCCAUUUCAGUAGUCACUUGCAGGGAAUCAAAAGAUUGUCGUAAUUGUAUCCGUGUGCAUAAACCAGAUAAGGUUCCUUUACAGGAGCACUUUCAGUGUUCCCUGCUGCACUAUAUGUUGUCUGUCUGUUGUAUUUUUCAAUCGAUUUCUAACCUGGUUUCAUGCAUGCCACACCCAACUUUUCUGGGUUAAUAAAAAUACGCUAUUCCCCGUGUUUACUGAAAAAUCUGAUCCUUGUGACUGCAGUGGAGCGAGGCCUGACAGAGCUCAGGAAAUUGGGCAUAGAGCAGCAGUUGUGGGAGGGCACACGUGCAGACAUCGACGAAGCUGCCUCAGCGGCGAUGGAGGACGAAUAGGGAGGGCAUGCGUCAUGAAUUCAUGAUCGAUUGUCUUAUGCUAGUGUAUCAUCCCAGUUUUGGACAAACGGGAGCUCCGGUUCCCAGCAGGUCUUCAGGCCCUUGGUAUACCCACCAUCGAAACAGUCCCCGAGCAGCAGCGAUGCUUCAGGUCCUCCGGCGUUGAGCAAUGGACCCGUCCAGAUUCCGACGGUGCUUGUGUAGCCGAUUUUAUCCCUUUGUUGAAUUAGUUCCGUGAAAUGUGUAAUUGGCUUUGCCUGGCAAGACGACGAGGAGCUCACCUCACCAAGUAAUUGUGAAUUUCUGUGAUUACCCCUCCUCCCAUGCUUACUCAGUUGUCUGGUCUCACGAACUGGACGGAUGGGAAAAAAAAGUGCAAGCUAUCUCGUGUACGUGCCUCUCUCAGAGAGGAUAAGAAAAAGAGGAGGAUGCAAGUAUGCAACGCCUGUAAUCUGUGUGGCGAAGACUUUGCCUUAUCACAAAAUGUGAAUCUUUGUUCCGUGCAUGAUGAGCUGACUUCCUCUGCGCGGAUUGAUGCGGGGUCAGAAGUUGGAGAUGGGAACGCGACUAUUUGGAGUCCAUGCCACGGAGACGGUUGGACGGCCGCGUCGUCAAAAUAAAAGAAAGAAAGGAAGAAAGCUCCCCUCCGCUCCGCUGUCUCGUUGCCCGUCCCUGUCCGCUCGUCACAUGACCUGCGAUUUCCAGGCACCCCAGGAAUGGACAGAGCCCAACCCAAACUCGUCCCUGCACGGGCGCCACAUUGCGAAACCCAGUACGUUUCCGGCCGGGGCUCUCGCCGCGUUGCGUUACUCCGUCAUGAUUACCAACGACCCUGUCUACACACCCCACGACUGCGACGGAACCUCCUCUCCGGCGUGUUUGCGUGCGUCGGAGCGGACGGACGGGCCUCCGCCGGUAUCCUGGCGCCGAGGGCAGAGCCCGCGCCGCGUCGCGUCGCUGGCUGGCUGGCUGGCUGGCCGGCGGCGCCGGGAAUUGAUCGCCCGGUCGAAUUGUCGAUCCAUCCAUCGCAUCGAUCGCCAGACCCUUCUUCUUUUCUUAGGGGGGUGGAGGGUCAAGACCACCAAGAAUGGUGUAAGGGGCUUCACGGGAAGCCUGGGACGCGCUGCCGCUCUCCGUCGACUCGCCCUUUGCCUCUCCCUAUUUAUUCCCCACUCCCUUUCAUACCUCGCGCGCGCCCCUGGGGCAUUCAUGGACGGUCUCGCAUUUGCUCAUUCCCUCGCCCACACGUUAAAGCCAUCGACCGAUCGGGCCUCGCUGUCGUACCGUCGCCGUCUCAUACGGUUGGCGUUCGCCGCCGCGUCUGCGUGCCUACUGGCCAGCCAGCCAGCCACUGCUUUCUAGUAGUACCACCAUAGCUUAGACCGCAGUUAGGUACGGCUGUGUAUCUACACUGUAUGCAUGCAUGCGUACAUGCAGGGAGGAUACAUGCAUGCACGAAGAACCAAACACCAUUUCCCAUCCGUCGAGCGCACGCAAAAUAACCGAUCAUGAGACCGCACGCAUGCCUCCUGGAUAUGCUAGCUACGACAUACAUUUAUCUGCUUCUGUUAUGUGUUAUGUGCAUCGACAUAUCUAUGUAUGUAUGUACUAUCUAUAUACUAUGUAUGAUGAUGUGCACUGCGUGGAUGUUGAUCCGAACAGUACGUACUACAGGUAUGGAUGACGGAUCACGACAGUUCUACUGCUUGUAUGCAGCUGGCAUCUCCAAGUUGCAGCUACGAGUGGCCCUAUCAAACCCAACCAAUCGAUGGUUUCGGUCUAAUCAAAUCUUGCUACCUGUAGCUGUACAAAUAAGGUGCAAGUGACCUCUGAGAUGUACAGGGAGUUUGAACAGCGGCGAUCACAUUCAUGCCCCUUCAACGGCUGCAUCGCAUUAACUAAUUCAGUGGCGCAUUAACUUCUCUAUCCGAGGGAGAUACUUAGGGUCUGUUUGGUUCAUGACUAACUUUGCCACAACUAACCUUAGGCAAAGUGUGGCUGCCACAAAAAAGUGUGGCUAACAAAAUGGACACCACAAGUGUGGCAAGAUUUGGCAAAAAAUUGAGUGUAUGACAUGUGGACCAUAUAACUAGAAAAGUGUGGCAAGCCAUAAGUGUGGCAAUGAACCAAACACAUGUCUAAGGUAUUGUGACAUGACUAAGGUUAGACGUGGCAACCUUAGGCUGGGAACCAAACAGCCCCUUAGGCCUCAGUCCUCCAUCUUGUACAAGUGCGUGUCACAUAUGCAAAGAAGUGAUGUGACAACACAAUUAAAAAGGAGAAAGAGCACCAUGAUGAUUCAAAAAAAAAACGAUGUUAAACACGUGAACCUAUGUAAAAUGGCUACUACCAACCAAUGUAUGGAGUUGUUUAAUGGUUACAAACAAUUGAAUUAGAGAAGUUUGGCAACAAAACAAAGCACCUAUGCGUUGAGGAUAUUAGUUGCUAAGUUUUUUAAUGCUAUUAGCACCACACCUAAGCAGCAAUGCAUUGAAAGAGGCCUUAUAUUUAACCCAACCCAAAACAAUAUUAAUUACAUUCUAAAAACGUAUUCAAACCGCUCCAAAAUAUGACUUUUGAUAGUAAAACUGUGCCUAAUAUUUUAUGAGGGAGAUAGUAAUCUGCACAAUUAAUGGUUUCCAAGUUUAUCUGCACAAUUAAGAAUUGUUAACCUCUAGAAUUUUUUCUUACAUGAACCCUUAUCCUACUAUACGUCUAUACUUAUCAAGAGGUAAUAAUACUAUGAGCCACUAGAUCACAAAAAGGUACAAUUUGGACGCGUCUAAACAUUUCUCACAAUAUAUAGGAAUUAAAUCAAUUUGUGACUUGGUCAUACACAACAACUAAUCGAAUUUGGCGUCUCGUACGUUCUUUAGAAAAUGACCGCCUAAGCAUGAUAAAUAUCCAAUCAAUUUGCGACUUGUCAUACGACAACAAACUGCUUUACAGAAGUGAGCUCGUAAUUUCUCUUAUGAUGCAUAAUAAGCCCUCCGAGCGUACCGAUUAAAAACGAGCUGCUUUAGCGUGUCCACUUGUUGGCUUGUGAUUUAGCUCUUUAAAUCGUAUAGCAGAGAGGUCACAUCGGUUUUUUAUUUGUUUGACAUAUGGGAAGAUAAACUCGUGGUCUCUGUAGAUAUGGUGCACACUACCAACUUGGCAACGCGUAAUUUCUCCUACGGUAGUAGCUCGCAUAGUGUCUACAUCAAAUUAGGCAGGCGAAUCGCAAGAAAAAUUGAAUUCCCUUCCUCUCGCUUUACAUUACACACAUGUGAGUCCUGGCGGGGAGGGCAAACCUUUUUGAGUUUUUCUCUCCAAUAAUUCCAUUCCAUCGUGUUGCAUCCGAUGAUGUUCUCUUUCUCAGCUCCGGCAGGGUCACAAGAUGCAUGGGAGAGCUUGUAAUUGGCAUUGUGCACAUACACACUCAUCCACACACUCGAGGGGCUGAGCAGGAACUCAAUCAUGUACCCUUCCCUCAUUCUCAAACCGUGAACAGAAUGAUCUCCCUUUUUUACCACAUUUUUUUAGAGAAGCAUGCAACCAUUGAACUAUCAUGUGAAUAAACAUAAUGCAGGCAAAGAACCCAAACUGUGGCUAAUAUAUCAGACCCGGCUGCAGUGGCGCUUAGACGAAGGCUAGAGUUGGAUUAUGUUGAAUAGGUGGAGGCCAGGAACUACUAUUUUUUUUUCGUAAUUAUGCGCCAACAACUAUAACUCUUAAGUGGCUUAAUGAUUAUCUACACGUUUGGAACACCACAUAAAUACGCCCCGUUAACCGACUUUUCGUAUCAUACACAAAAUCGAAACAAAUUUUGUUAGGCUAUUUAGCCAAAGCUAAAACAAAUUAGUUUUGCAAAGUUGGUGGGAAAGCAUUGCUUGCUUCUUUUUGUGGUUCGAAGUAAUCCUCUCUUGUUUGUUUGAAGUAAGCUUCUUUCCUUUUGUUUGUUUGAAGGUUCUCUUGUGGGCAAACAAUACAAGAAAAACCAACAGAGAGCAUUUGAUUUUCUGCACAACACCCUUCAAAGAUAACGAGAAACAAAAAGGCCAGCUCAUUCUCCAUCCAUGGCACCGCACACGUGUCGCCCUGCCAGCAGAACCUUUUUUGUAAAAACUUGCGAUGUUUAAUCUCCUCCCAUCCUUCAACCUUAGCUUCACAGAGAAACAAACCUUCAUGCCAACUCAUUUUUUGAUCCUUUCAUUAGGUGCAACAGCUUUCAUUUGCUACAGGACGGCCCAAACGUUGCGUACAAAUAUUACUCAUGGUUUUUUGUUUGGAAGAAGACAAAAGCUAUACUGUUCCCAAGUGACGCACACAAACACUCCAUGUAAGAAACCAUGGAGCAUGGCACACGGAAUUCUCAUGCUUUUCGUGUCCAGUGAAUAUUUUUGUUCUUUUCCAUAUCACAUACGUAUGUGUGCUUCGUCACUAACAAACAUAUCCAUGGCUAUGGCAUGUUUAUCACUCUUGCAAAAGAACUAUACUUUCCCACAAAAAAAAAGUGUUGUACUUGCAAAACUAAAAAUAAAUCAUACCCUAGGGUUCCGAUGGAGCGGCGGAGUUAGGGAGGAGGCAUGACCCUAGUCAUCAAGGUUCAAAUUUCGCGCCAAAAUGCGCUUACCAGGGAGGAAUUUUGCAAGCUUCGUAGAAUUAUGUUUUAUUCCUUCUAAAUGAAGAAAUGUGUUAAGGAGGCAUACUCAUCGCGGUGUGAUAUAUCGGCGACUGUUUUCACCUAGCAUCGUGACGGUCGGAUCCAACGUUGAGAUUUGCGCGACGGUUCAUCGGACGGCCAUGAUUUGCCGAAGCAUCUUCUGGAUGUAACAUUGUUUAGCUGCACACGCUGCCACUGGCCUCUGCGCCCCUAUAAGAAGGGAAGGUAGCAACCAUCCCAAGGGGGAUCGAGUUGCAGAGGGAUAAGUAGAAGUAACUGACCGUGCGAACUUGCCAAGAAUCCGUGGGAGAGGACAGAGGAGGGCGUGAUGGAGAACCCGGCGGCGGUGGUGGGGGCGGAGAAGGAGGACGAGCUGGUGGGCGGCGGCGGGGGCGACUGGGGGUACCUCACGUCGGAGGCGAUGGCGACGGCCGGGUUCCCGGCGUUCGGGUUCCCCUGCGGCACCAGGGGCGGCGUCACGCCCGCGCCGAACUCGGCGUCGCUGCUCAUGUCCAUGGAGCACGCCGCGCUGUUCGACUACAACGCCGCCUUCCCGUCGUCGUCGUCCUCCGCCGUCCCCGCGCCCCCGGCAUACCACGACUUCGGGUCCGGCGGCAACCCCUUCAGCGUCGACGCCCCGCCGUUCCUUCUCGAGGCCCCGCCGCCGCUGACGGCGGGGGCGGGAGGGCAGAAAGGGGGGUUCUUGGCGCCCCCGCUGUCGGCGUUCGGCGACGGCAUGGGGUGGGACGACGAGGACGAGCUGGAUCAGCAGAGCAUGGACGCCUCCUCCUUGGGGGUCUCCGCCUCGCUGGAGAAUGCGGCGGUCGGCGCGCCGGGGGGAGGUGGCGGCGGCGGCAACGGGAAGGGCAAGAAGAAGGGGAUGCCGGCCAAGAACCUGAUGGCGGAGCGGCGGCGCAGGAAGAAGCUCAACGACCGCCUCUACAUGCUGCGCUCCGUGGUGCCCAAGAUCAGCAAGGUGAGGAACGCUCCCCCCGUCAUGGAAAUCGAUCACCUACUUGUUCCCAUCUCUACUAUACAUAUUAUGGUUGAUCUAUUUACAUAUUUUAGUUCAUGAUGUGAGUAUAUUACUACAUGGAUUGUUGCUGCACUUGUUGGUGAAUUUUGGUGAUGAAUUCUUGAAUUGGGAUGCAUUUAUGUCACAAAAGCACACAUUUUUUGUAGUAGAUCUAUGGCACUCUAAGUGUCAUGUUGGUUCAUAUCUAGCCAUCUCCAGGAGGCAAUAGAACUCUUCCAUUAUCUUGGAAAAAAUAAAUUCUAUAGCCAUGUUUCGAGCGCGGGAAUUUUUCCUGUUUCUUGCAGGAAUUGAACUUAUUCACGUGAAAUGCAAGCGAUAAAUCUAUUCCAUCAUCUAGAAAAUCUCUACGGCCCGUUCGGAGCGCGGGAAUUUUCUUCUUGAACUUGUUCACGUGAAACGGCGAGCGACAAAAUCCUUCCAUUAUCUAAAUAUAAUCUCUAGGCUCCAUGAAAUUCAUGCAUUGCAAACCAUUUUUUUUCAUUACAAUAUGGUGGAAAUUUAGCACCAUGAAUCCCUUCUCAGCUUGGUAAAUGUUUGUUUUACUGUUCUGCCUUGGGUAGAUUUCAGUACUGAACCUACCACCCAAAUAUGUUUGUUGGGGAAUUUUUUUUUCUUUUGAUGUUUGCUUAUGGUGCAAACUGAACACAGUGGCAUGCACAAGGUGUUAUCGAAAGCCACCUGCCACUGGAUAACCCACAAAGCUCCUUUUCCCCCCUUUGUGUACUUGACAGGUGUUCUUGUUGGAGGUUUCUGUUUUUUUUGUUUGUUUCCUUGGAGAAGUCCAAUUUCUGCAUGUUUUGGCGUCUAAAGUGCAUUUCCCUGCAGUUGUUCCAUGUAAUCAGCUUACUUUUCUUUGCAAUCAUCAGGAUGGUUUUGAACAGCAACAGUUACAAUCUGCAUUUUUCCUAGUGUAUCAGUAGAACAUGAUUAUGUCAAAAUGUUACUAAUUCUAAGUUUCUAGUAAUAGUGUUUGCAUGGUUGUAUGGUAUGAGUACAUCCUGUGUUCCUAAAUAUAAGACGUGAGAGGUAGUAGUAAUUUUGAUCAGCAGCUCAUCACCAGUUUUCCUUCUUCUGUGUCAUCAGAUGGACAGGGCUUCAAUCCUCGGUGACGCAAUUGACUACCUGAAGGAGCUCCUGCAGAGGAUCAGCGAUCUUCACUCCGAGCUCGAGUCUGCUCCAAGCUCUGCUGCACUCGGUGGACCAUCGACGGCCAAUACCUUCCUGCCGUCGACGCCCACUCUGCAGCCGUUCCCCGGCCGCAUCAAGGAGGAGCGGUGCCCGCCGGCCCCGUUCCCUAGCCCCAGCGGCCAGCAGGCGACGGUCAGUCCAUUUCUCUCUGCCAUGCCAUGGAGCUUGACACUCAUAUCUGUAGUGGGUUGUGCUUUACAAUCCUUAUUAUGAAGUUAUGAUGGCGUAUCGAUGAACUGAACUCUGUUUGACUGGUUGCGUGUGUGGUUCAGGUUGAGGUGAGGAUGAGGGAGGGGCAGGCGGUGAACAUCCACAUGUUCUGCGCGCGCAGGCCGGGCAUCCUGCUGUCCACCAUGAGGGCGCUGGACAGCCUCGGCCUCGACAUCGAGCAGGCCGUCAUCAGCUGCUUCGACGGCUUCGCCAUGGACGUCUUCCGCGCCGAGGUCCGUUCGUAAUUCCCGCCCAAAAAAUCUCCUCUCUGCUCCACCGCGCAGCUGUGGCCAUGGGUACCAGUUCUGUCGGUGACAGUGUGCAUUUCGAUCAAAUCAGAUCCUACCGUUGCUUGCUGUUCACCAUGCAUCUUUAAUUACGGUCUGGUCUGAUGAUCUGUUGUGUUGUUCUGGGGUGUCCAGCAAUGCAGGGAGGGCCCUGGGCUGCUGCCGGAGGAAAUUAAGGCGGUGCUCCUGCACUGCGCCGGUCUCCAGAACGCGAUGUAGGCGAAUCCCCGGGAGACAAGACCGCCAGGAUGGUGAUUGAUGGUCAUGGGCUCUCCCUCUCUCCUGACUGUCUGGUCAGGACGAUGAUGCUAGAUGUACAAAACCUUGUGCUGUUCUUUGUUUUACCAGUUCCUUGGACGGACAAAUCUCAUGGGAUGAGGCUCGCCAUCUCCCUGCAGACAUGAGACCGAGAUCUCGGUCCAGCUUCCCUCUCUGUGGUCGUCGUGAACCUGUGUGAUGUAAUGGUUAUCUUUCCCUACCGUUGAAGACUUGAAGUGAACUAUCUCCAGUCAGUCAAUCCUCCAUGCAUGCCUCCAUGGGUGGCCAUGGCGUUCGUCGUGGUCAUGCCGCAUAUAUUUCCAAGAGAUUCAGCAUGUCAGGGACAAUGAUUGCAUGCAUGGGUGCAUGCAGCUCGUCGUCGUAGCUAGCUGCAGACGAGCUGCGGCCGGGCGGAAUUGAAUUCUCUGGCCUCUUGUGAUUACUGUUUUUUGAAUGAACUCUGGCCUCUUGUGGUUUAUGCACGCGAACUGUUGCUGUAGCCUCUGCUGGCUGGCUGGCUGGCUGAAUGGGUCAUCGUAGCCCAUGUGAGGAUUAGUUGGGGACCGGAUUGGGCGAUUGGCUGCUUCCCCGCGAUGCAUGAAUGCAGGAUUUGGAAGGAUUAUGUGUGUGUUUGUGUACGUACAUGGAUGCAUGCAGCCAUGCAGCAGGCAGGCAGAGGGCGGUUCUUGAAUUCUGCCGUGCCACAGCCCACAGGCCGCGGCUAGAUUUGCAGGCGCAGCAGUGCCGCAGUCGUGGAUUGGCUUCACAAAUCGCAGUAAGUUGAGUGAAUAUAAUAUCCUACUCCCAGUCUUGACAGGAUUUGACCGUUCGCCCUGCUACAUGCAAAACAGGAGGAGAUUGGACUUGAGUUUUCUUUUUAAAAAUCAAAUUUUGGGUCAUUCAUUAAUACUUCAUAUGUGUUUAAAUACAAGUCUUUUUAAAGAUUCCACUAGGGACUACAUAUGAAUGUAUAUGAACAUACUUUGAAGUAUCACUACAAAAAAUCUGUUAAUCGAUGACGGUCCUUGUCCGUCAUGGAUCAUCCAAAAACUGUCAUGCAUGCCCAUGCAUGACGGAUUUGAAAUCCGUCACGUAUAUCGCGUCAUAAUUUGAUAUAGCACCAUCCUUGACGGUUCUUUGCCGUCACGGAUUUGCCCCCGGCCCGUCCGGCCCAAGCUAGGAUAUGACGGAACAAUCCGUCAUCGAUUUACAUGACAUGGAUGCAACGUGACAUCUACGUGGAUCUGAUGUGGAGGCCAGCAUGGCCCAUGUAGUAACCAACCCAAUUAGGUUUUGGCCCAAUAAUUUCAAUCCAGUCCAACCAAUUAGCCCUACUUUUCACCCAACUUAUCUUCACAAUGAAUCAUAAUUUACAACAAGACAUGCAAUUCUAUUCAUUCAACAAGACAAUACAAAUUUCGAACAAUCUGGUCUGAUUUCAAAAAGCAAAAUUAAUAUCAAAACAUCAUAAGCAUAUUUACAAGGUGCUAUAAGCACAAGCAUUAAUAAAAAUCAAGUAACAUGACAUCAUUGAAACUACACUACUACAUGAUUUUAAUCUCCAACACUACACCGCCACUUCCAGGAAGCUUUUCAGACCCAAGUAAUUCCUGCUAAAAUGCCUCGGUCGAUAGUAACACGAACUAACUGCCAAACCUGCAAAGAAUCCAAAACACAAAGAAUUACACUGCAUAACAUACAACUCCCAAAUGAAUAUGUAGAAUAAUAAUAUUAGUUGUACAAAUGCGUCAAUAAUCUUUACCUACUAAUAAAGAAAAUAGUGCUUCUUCCGUACGUCAUUCAAAUUGCCCUUAAAGUUAACUAAAAUUACCCACCAAUGCCACCUACAAGUCAUAAAAAACGUUUCAAACACGAAAAUAUCCGGACUGGACCGGCCCGUGUAGUCACCUCCUAUAUUAUGGUCUGGGCGUUGGAAAAAGAUGCAGCACACCUGUUUGGGCUGGCCCAUGCGUGGGCGCCUGUUUUUUUGGUUUAAUUUUUUUAUUCGUCUUUUCAGUUUCUUUUUUUCUACUUUAAAUAAUUUAGAACUUCAAACAACUUUUCUCAAUUUUAAGAAACUGAGAAUUUCCAAAUAAAAUAUUCAAAAAAUCAUUUGUUUAGAAUUCAAAAACUACUCACGAGUUUUGAAAAAUGUUUAAACUUUGAAAAAAUGUCCAUAAAAUAAAAAAGUCAAUGACUUUAAACAAAAGUCCGUGUAAAAAUCUUAAAAACAGUUCCUGCCUCUGUUUUUAGUCUCAUUUUUUAUUUUCAUUUUUCUGUUCCAUUUUUUAGUUUAAAUAAUUUAGAACUUUGAAAAACUUUUGCAAUUUAUAAAACUGGGAAUUUUGAAAUAAAAGUUUGAAGAAAAUAUAAAAUGUUUGUGAAUUCAAAAAAUGCUCGGGAUUUUUGUAAAAAUAUUCGCAUAUUCAGGAAAAUGUUCAUAAUUUUGAGAACAAUUUUGGUGAAAACAAUAAAAGUCCAGGAUUUUGAAAAAAGGUUUGUGUGUUAUUUUUUGAGUGCAAUUGAAAAAAUGUUUGCUAAUUCAAAAAAUGUUCAUGCAUUUCAAGAAAUGUCCUAAAAUUUUAAAGACAUAAUAUAAUCAGCAUUAUUGGAAAUUUUAUUAUUUUUCUCCCGUUGCAACGCACGGAUCCUUUUGCUAAUAAUAAUCUCUCCCUAAUAAUAAAGCAAAUAGGGUUUCUGGUCGUCCGUCAUGGAAAUUACCCCUAGAGUUUGCAUAAAUUACCCACCAUGCCAGCGGUAAGUAAUAGAAAACGUUUUACAAAGCAAAAAAUCUUGGACUGGGCUGACCCAUGUAACAACCUCUUACAUUACGCUCUGCGCGCUGGAAGAAUAUCUAGCACACCAUAUGGGCCGGCCCAUGCAUAGGCGUCUGCUUUUAGUUCCUUUUAUUUAUUUAUUUUCAGUUCCAAUUUUUUUUUUAUUUUAAAUAAUUUACAACUUCAAAUAAUCUUUAAAAUUUUAAUAAACUGAAAAUUAUAAAUCAACAUAUUUAAAAAAUAAAAUGUUUGUAACUUCAAAAACUGCCCGGAGUUUUGUAUAAAAUGCUCGCAUAUACAAUAAAAUGUUGCAAUUUUAGAAACAUAUUUGUACAAUAAGAAAAGUCCAUUAUUUCAAAUACAAUUCCAUGUACUCAAAAUUAUUAAAGGCAUUUAACAAAAUGCUUUCUAAUUGAAAAUAUAUUAAUGCAUUUAAGAAAUGUCCUAAAAUUUUAAAAAUAGCUAAUGCCUGUUUUGAUAGUUUAUUCUUUUUAUUUAAAAUUUUCCAUUCCAUUUUUGUUUAUUUCUAAUUUAAAUAAUUUAGAAUUACAUAAACUUUUGCAUAUUAAAAAAUAGGAAUUUUGAAAUAAAAUGCUGACGAAAACAUAAUGUCCAUGAAUUUAAUAAAUAUAUUACUGAUUUAUAACAAUGUCCAUGAAUUUAAUAAAGAUAUUACUGACUUAUAACAAUGCCCAUGAAUUUAAUAAAUAUAUUACUGAUUUAUAAAAAUGUUAGUUUAUUUAGAAAAACUUCAUGCGUUUCAAAAAAUGUUUGUGAAUUUAAAAUAAAAUCCUCCAACUUAAAAAAUUAUGUUCGCCUUUUCUUGAAUUGGCCGCCAAUUCAAAAGAAAAUAUUUAAACCUGUUCGAAAUAUAAAAAAUAUUCGCGAUUUUUAAUAAAUGUUUGUAAAUUGUAAAAAAUGUUCUGGAUUUUAAAAUUGUUCCCAUAUUUGUAAAAUUGUUCACGAAAGAUCUAAUGUAUGUAGUUAAACAUUAAUGCUUCUAAGUCUUUGUCACAAUAUACUAUGUGAAUUUUGAAGAAUUAACUGUUGGAUGGAUCCAAUUAUUAUUGUAUGUUUUCUAAUUUUUUUUAUUGAAAUUCAGAAUAAAUCUUUGAGUUACCAAGAUUUUUGACAACCAUGAUAUAUAUUUUUUGAAAAUGUAAAGAUUGUUUCAACUUGUGAAUAAAUUUAAAAGAAGAAACAUUUUCUUGCAUUUGUGCAUAAAAUUUCAAAAUCAAGCGAAGAUAUGCGAACAUAAUGUGGUCACCAUCAUUGAAGAUUAUGUUUUUUUUUCGUGGCAACGCACGGGCCAUUUUGCUAGUAAUACCAAAAAGUAGAGAAUAUGCUAGUGAUGACACUGAAAUUUUAAAACUGCACAAAUGCACUAUGUAGCAGAUCGAACACUACUAAAAUCUAUUAGUAAUCUUAAAGAAACACACAGAACCUUCACUCCAUCGCUCCUUGAGAUUGCAUUUCUGUGUAUACAUCAGGAAAUAUUUAAAUUGAAUAAGACAUCAAGGCACUACUGAAGUUUGUUUCAAGGGUUUCACAUAAUCUAGCUUCUUGGCUUCUAGCAUCACCAUUGCUUGCUACCAUAAUCUAGCUUGCAGGCCCAAAGAAGAAGGGAAAUAGAAGGCAGUGACAAAGUUCAUUUCAAGGGUUUCACUUUGUGUCACCUAUUUGAACAAAGUAGAAGCAAUCAUAUUUUAUAUACGCCACCUCCUGAUUAUGGUCUAUACAAUAAAAUGAAUCUAAGGAAAAGUACUAUAAUAAAGUGUACAUUGACAAUGAAGCAACUAAACUUUUAUUAACAACACAUUAGUUAAUGAUAUGCAAAAAGAAGUAUUCACAUGAUUUUCUAAGUGAAUCAGUUGCUUCUUGUAAAGAGCCCUCACCUGAAAGUAUAAAAAGUAAAUAAUUCAAGGGAAUAUACAUAGAUAUCAUUUUUUUUUCUUUAUUUCUGGUUGUAUACAUAUCAUUUCAGUUUAACUUAGCACAUCAUUGAUUAAUCUUAAUACCAAAAAGUAGAGAAUAUGCUAGUAAUAACACUAAAAUUUUGAGGCUGCACAAAUGCACUAUGGAGCAGAUCGAACACUACUAAAUCUGAAGCAAAGAUAAUAUAACAAUCUAUUAGUAAUCUUAAAGAAACACACAUAACCUUCACUUCCAUCGCUCCUUGAGAUUGCAUUCCUCUGUACACAGAGGGAAGCAUUGAUUUGGCGCAACAGUCAUGGAGCAAGACUACAUCAGCUAGCACAAGAACAACAGAUUUAAUUUAUUUCAUGGCUUAAGCAACCUGAAAAACUCAAUAACACAUUUACACAAAAGCUUAUAAAUCUCAUAAUACAUUUUAAUUAUAUUCCUUCUUCGGUGUCAAAUGAUUGAAUAACUAACCGUAAAUAGUUCACAUAAAUGUAUGUUAGUAGCAGCAGACUAGCACACAAGCCCACCCUACACAGUAUGACACACAUGAUUAGUUGGUGGAUCGAGGAAGGAAUUUCAUGCCAUGAACACACGCUAGCCGAUCGGGUAACAGUUUCCUAAUCAGAAUUUUGGCAACCUGGGAUCUAAUGUUAACAUCAUUCAUGAAUCAUACAGCACAUCCUAAAUACUAUUGUGCAUUCCUGACACCUGACCCUGUUCGGAAAAAACCAACCACCGAAUCACAGUCGAAUAGAUGGCUUGGAGCAACCCUAAAUCCUGGCGGCUACGCAUCCAAAUCUAGCGCCUAUCUCACGAGGAGCGGAUGAGGCGGCGCAUCGAACCGUAUGUACCUAGGUCGACGUCGCAGCGGGCGGAGGAGCAGUCCGAGUGCUGCGCGACGAGGUCGGCAAAGGAGGCGCGACCGGCGAGGAUCUGGGCCCGGAGCUCGCCGAGGCACGCGGCCGCGUCGGCGCGCGUGGUGGCGGAAAUGACCUGGCCCUCGGGGCCUUUCCAGAAAGCCUUGCGCCGGGACCCCUCGUGCUUGAUCAGGAUGUGCGACGCGCGCACUAUCUCCUCCCCCGACGCAGACGGCGCCGACGCCAUCUCUUCCUCCCUUGCUCCGCAGCUCGCGGCUCCGAUCGCUUCAGCGGUAGGGAGGUGGAGCAGGAGAUGGUUGGGACAGCGGCGAGGGAGAUCGACGGGGAGGCAGCGGCGUGGGAGAUCUAGGGGGCGGCAGCCACGCAUGUAGGGAGGUUGGGCAUGCAUCUAAAUCGGGAGGAGAGGGGGAGAGGAGUCAGCGGCUGUGGAUGGUUGUGGAUAUGGUUUUCGUGGUCGUGGGUUGAGACGUGAGGCUGUGGCAUGUGAAUUAAAUGGGUUGGCUCCGAAUUUUUUUAAUUCCCCGCGUCGAUGACUUGAAAGUUUUCUCCGCGCACUUCCUGUUUCGGACUUUGCCGCUAUUAUUUUUUCCUUCGCACGCUUCCAGUUUCAGGCUUUGCCGCAUGGGUGACCAGAUGGUGUAUAUAGUAUGGAAAGCUAAACCCGCUUGGGCCCGGAUGAUCUAUCCGUGACGGUUUUCGUGACAGUACGUCGACAUCUGUCAUUAAGGGGCUGCCGUUUUAGGGCCCAAUCACAUCCUGCUGGUCGUUGACUGUUUUCAUGACGGAUUUCCGGAACGUCAUCAGGAAUCCGUCACGGAUUAACAGAUUUCUUGUAAUGUAUAGAUUUACUUAUUUUGCUUCGUAUGUAGUCGACUAGAAUAUAACAAUAGAUCCAGACGACCUUCUUCCCCUGAUAAACCGCUCGAUCCUCUUUCUUUUCAGUCUCACACGUGGAAAAAAAAUGAGGCGUUACAAGUAAUCAAACACCCGGCCAAUUGGUCGAGCACACGGCGCGCCACCGGCUGAGCUAACUUUCUGAUCUGUUUCUUUACACAAAUUACCUGAUUUUAUACAUUACUAAAUGAUUGAAAAAGAAAAACAACCGUGCCUAUCUUGACAAGUGGACAAAACCAUUUGAUACGAGUUUUUUUAAGGACUGAUGCAUCAUGCUAUACUUCUCAUUUUUUAUAGUGAUGAACAUUUUCUAGUGAAAUAAAUGUCCAACUCCUUACAAAAUUCGAACAAUGAUCUUCUUUUUCAUGUGUCACAAAAAAUAAGAGUUUGUUUUGAAACAUCCCUGAUAUUUUUUUUAUAAUGAGCCAAAUAAUUUACGCACUAGUAGCUUACGUACAAACAUCUUGAUAGUUUUUUUACCUGGGAAAAAUUGUUGCAAAUAUUCUCGGUAACUUUUGUGCAAAUACAUGAUAAUACACCCACAUCGUGGCUGAUAAUUCAUGCGGAAACAUCAUGAUGACUUUUGACCCCCGAAAAAGUUGUUGGCAAACAUACACCGGCAAUUUAUAUGAAAAAUUAACAUGAUAAUAUACGAACAAUAAAGCUGGUAAUUUACUUAGCCGAAGUGUGAUAAUUUUUUGACCAGGGGGAAAAAGUUGUUGAACCGCCCUUCCUGGUAACUCAUGUAUACUAGCAUGGUAAUCUACGCACAUCGGCGUUGAUAACUUACUUAGCUGAGACACGGUAACUAUUUGUGACUUGCGGAGCCGGGGAGGAGGAGGGGGUUGUUGAAACUUACAUGGUAAAUUAUGUAUAAAAAGCAUGGUAACAUGCACACAAUCAAUCUGAUAACUUACCCACAAACAACAUGGUAACUUUGAUCCGGGUCGGUUGUUGGAAAACAUACCCUCGAUAACUUUUGUGUUAAUAGCAAGGUGCUACACGCACAGUAUACGCACAAUAGAGCUGAUAAUUCACUUAGCCGAAAUGUGGUAACUUUCUUUACUAGGGGAAAAAGUUGUUGAACCUCCCUUCCCUGAUAAUCAAGUCUAUUCGCAUGGUAAUCUACACACAUCGGCAUUGAUAACUUACUUAGCCGAGACAUGUUAACUAUUUUUAACUUGUCGAGGAGGGGGGGGGGGGUUCAAAAAUUACAUGGUAAAUUAUGUAUAAAAAGGAUGGUAACAUGCGCACAACCAAAAUGAUAACUCACCACAAACAACAUGGUAACUUUGAUCCAGGCUGGGUUGUUUGAAAACAUACCCCCGAUAACUUUCCUGUUAAUAGCAAGGUGAUAUACACACAAUAUACAUUAUAACUGCCCCAUGCUUUAACCUUCUUGUACUAUAGGUACCAUCCUUAUUUAUCAUGUUGCUCGUACCAAAUUCAUCACACUCGUCAUGCCAAAGUUACCAAGCCAAUCUUUAUUAUUGUUUCUGAUAUGGCAUAAUUAAGAAAGGUUCAAAUAACAUUGCUUAUCUACAGUAGACAAAAACAAAAGGUGGCUUAGUUGGUUAUUAGGCUCAAUAGCAAUUGCAAAUACCUUGGUUUGAAUCCUCUUUCAAGCACUUUUAUUUUCUUUUCAUAUUAUGCAGCAAAAAGCCAGAAAAAACCACUAGCGAUUCACUGCGGUUUUGAGAGAAGGAAAAAAAUCAAUGCAAGCAAGCAUGGAAUGACAGCGAUCAGGUAGGAGCAAGUCAUGCAGACCUGUUGCUAAAAUCAGGACGUCCUCAAGUUAGCACAGUCCUAUUCUGCAUGCAAUCGGGAAUACAGUGUUGGAAGGCUAAGUAAGCAACACGCUUGCUCACCCUUGCUAACAAAUGAGUAUUUUUUAAGAAAUGGAAUAUAUUAAUAUCGCGAAGAGAUCAAUUAUAUUUGGUCUCUGUACCAACAAGAUGUCCAGAGACAUCAAGAAUACACACAACAACAAAAAAGAAGAAGAAAAAAGCCAUGUCAUGGCGAUCGGUCACUAGCAACAACAACCUUCUAACCACCAUCAAAGACAACACCCGGCUUACAAAAGAGAUUCUCCAAAAGCAAUGCCUCUAAGAAGAAAACAAUGCACAAGCGUUGUCAUUGCCUUAUAGAAGAUCUUGAGUUUUCACCCUCGAGAAAGUUUGAGUUCACCGAAAAAAAUGCCUUCAACAAGGUCAUUGCGAGGUACAACCAAUGAAGGCCAGAACUUGGGUUUUCACCCUAGGAAUCGAAACUCGGUACUCGAGGAGCACCAUCAAAAUUGCAGACCUCCAAUGCUUCCGCCCCCGCUUGCAGAUGCCACUGUUGCAAUCCACCAAACACCUAGCACACAAUCUUCACCGCAUCGAGCACACUUUUCGUCAACGCUUCAAGACCUCCAAUCACAGCCGCCAUGACUUUGUCCACCUCUAUCAAUGCCUUGAGAAUCUUGACUUAGACAUGUCCCAUGACUUCGGUAAUAAAGCGAAGCUUCACGUCGCAUCCUUUUGAAGCCGUGCUAGCUGAUAAUAUAAGCACGUGCGACCAAAGCCUCUUCAAUCUAGAUAUGCACGAGCGACAUUCGCCAAUCUGUUUAGAUCUCUCGCGGGUAAGACUGAUGGGGAACGUUGGAUGGGAAACAAAAAAAAAUACCUACGCACAUACAAGAUCUAUCCAUGAUGAUGACCAUCUACGAGAGGAGAGAUCAGAUCCACAUACCCUUGUAGAUCGCUAAGCGGGAAGCGUUAAGAAACGCACUGGAUGUAGUCGAACGUCUUCGCAAUCCAAAUCACAAGACGUCCCUUGAUCCAAUCACGAUCUAGCGCCGAACGGACGACACCUCCGCGUUCAGCACAUGUGCACCAAUAGCGGGACCUGGAUGCACAUAUUGAUUCCUACAUAUUCUACAAAGAUCUUUAUUGGUCGAACCACGAUGUCACGGAUUGAAUUAAUCCCGUAUGUCGUUCCCUUUGUCCGUGGGUAUGUUACUUGCCCGAGAUUCGAUCAUCGGUAUCUCUAUACCUAGUUCAAUCUCGUUACCGAAAAAUCUCUUUACUCGUUCCGUAAUACAAGAUCCCGUGACUAACUCUUUAGUCACAUUACUUGCAAGCUUGUUGUGAUGUUGUAUUACCGAGUGGGCCGUAGAGAUACAUCUCCGUCAUACGGAGUGACAAAUCCCGCUCUCGAUCCAUGCCAACCCAACAGACACCCUCGGACAUACCUCUAGAGCACCUUUAUAGUCACCCAGUUAUGUUGUGAUGUUUGAUACACACAAGGUUUUCCUCCGGUGUCCGGGAGUUGCAUGAUCCCAUGGUCAUAGGAACAAAUACUUGACAUGCAUAAAACAAUAGCAAUGAACUAACACGAUCAUAUGCUACGUUCAUAGUUUGGGUCUUGUCCAUCACGUCAUUCUCUUAAUGAUGUGAUCCUGUUAUCAAAUGACAACUCAUGUCUAUGGCCAGUAAACCUUGACCAUCUUUGAUCAACGAGUCAGGCAUUUAGAGGCUCACUAGGGACAGUGUGUUGUCUAUGUAUCCACAUAUGUAUUUAGUUUCCAAUCAAUACAAUUCUAAGCAUGUAUAUUAAACGAUUAUCAUGAACAAGGAAAUAUAAUAAUAACUAUUUUAUUAUUGCCUCUAGGGCAAAUUUCCAAUAGUAUCCCACUUGCACUAGAGUCAAUAAUCUAGCUCACAUCACUAUGCGAUUUACAUUGUAAUGAAUCUAACACCCAUACAGUUCUGGUGUUGAUCAUGUUUCGCUCGUGGAAGAGGCUUAGUCAAUGGGUCUUCAACAUUCAGAUCCAUGUGAACUUUGAAAAUACUUAUGUCCUCCUCCACUACAAGGAUACCCCUUGUAAAGCAACACAUAAUUUACAAGAUUUUAACUAUACAUUGCAAAAUUUAUUAUAGAUACGGAUAUAAGCGUUGUAGCAUAUACAUUGCAGGUUUGUUGUGUCCCUACAGUAGUAUACAAAUGAAAAAAAACCAGAUGAAUUGAGAGAGAGAGAGAGAGAGAGGGAGAUGCAACGAAAAAGAAAAAAGAGCCCACGACUUCCCCUCUGCUCUCAUGGAUCGGCACCACCUCUUCCUCCUCC
rnacentral:lncRNA from 1 species